GAGACACACACAUAUGUGUGUUAUGUACUUACCACUUGCAGAUUUGACCAUGAGGGAAGGAGAAAGCAGUGAAGUCCAACAUUUGAAGAUUGAGCAGAAGAGAAGCUCAAAAAGUGUUCCAAAAGUGAGUCUGCUGCACAGCCAAGGGGUGUCCAUCACUGACCCACAAGUAUGUGGCAGUGGUGCCCGCAGUUACAAUGCAGUCAGGUAUGUGCUGGGCUCCAGACCCUUCUGUCCGACUUACCUGUUCCACACGGCCAUUUCGAGUUUCCCGUGUCCCGAGCUGGUCUUCCCCUCCUUCCUUCCAUGCACCCCUCUUCUCGUGUUGUCUGUCUGUGAAUAGCACAAGUAUCCCUUCAGGUGCCCAAAGCAGACACUUGCCCCCGCCCACCCCCAACUCGUGCAUCCCAUCAGCAGGCCUGUUCAUUCCACCUUCGAAACAUCUCCCCUCCACCUGCUUCCUCCCACCUUCCGCUGCCUUAAUCCCAGCCACCGCCUACCUUUGUUGGGUCACUACGGGAGCUUCCCAGCUGGUCUCUAGGUCUCUACCGCUCUGUACUUUCAGCAGGCACAGUAACUGUUCUAAACUUCGAAUCUGAUCGUAUCACUGUCACUUGAAACCAUUAAAUGCUUCCCCGUCGUCCUGAGGACAAAGUUCCUAAAGCUGCUGCCAGGCCCUCCCUCAUCGGGCCCUGCUCUUCUCCGCCCCCCGCCCCCCUCCCCACGGUUGUCCUCCUCAUGCCCUCCCCCACUCAUGAACCUGUCUUCACCCUCAUCUAGCACAUGGCCUCUGUAAGUGCUGUUCGGGCUCUGCCAGGGCUGUCCCUUCCCCCACCCCUCAUCCUCCACUUCUCAGGGCUUGGCUCCCAGCUCCCAGUUCACUUCCUCUGGGAAACCAAAAAGGUUUCCAUCGCACACGCCCCCACACCCAGCUGGCUUAGGUGCCUCUCCUGUAAUCGCCCACAUCUGGCAUUUGCCCUGAAUCCUGAGUCGUUUCCACUUGCCUGUCUUCCUCAUAGACUGUGAGGUCCCUCUCCCACCGUCCCAGAAAUGACCCACUGCUUACCAUAUGAUGCCUGCUCACGAUAUUGAAAAUUACGGAAUUUUAUUUGCAACACACACACACACGCCACCAAACAAACUAGUUUGGGGCUGGUUUUUUUUUUCUUUUUUUUUUUUUUUCUUUUCUUUUAAUUUACCUGAAGUGGAAUAGCAAGGUAGAGCAUUUUGAAAUAACCCAGGAUGUCAGGAAGGAUUGCACUCUUAGGUUGUGUAGAAUGGCACCAGAUUUUUGAAGGUUCGUUUUUGAGACAGAAGAGGAAAAUGUUUAAGCAGCACUGAAGGAAAGGGGGCCCCCUGGGUGGCUCAGCUGGUUAAGCGUCGGACUCCUCAUUUUGGCUCCCGUCAUGAUCUCACGGUUGUUGGUUGUGGGAUCGAGCCCUGCUUGGGAUUCUUUCUCUCUCUCCCUCUGCCCCUCUCUACCCCACCCCCUCAAAAACAAAUAGACAUUAAAAAAAAGAAACAAAGAAAGAAACACUUAAGGAAAAGAAUGGAGUGCUUGGAAACCUGACAUCUCUUCAAGUGACACAGAUCAUACUGAUUGGCUCCUUAAGAUUCUGGUUAAACCGAGAAUCUUCCUUCACCCUAGCUCGGUGUCCCGUGUGUUUUGUACUAGAAUUGUCACAUAAGAAAGCAGCUCUGGGUGGCCAUUUGUUUUAAUAAUGGGAUUAGGGGCACUGCAGGCUUUGCAUGACAUUAAACAUGGAACUGACUAAU